AACGAACGCUGGCGGCAUGCCUAACACAUGCAAGUCGAACGAGAAGGUUUCUUCGGAAACUGGACAGUGGCGCACGGGUGAGUAACGCGUGGGGACCUACCUUUUAGUACGGAACAACAGUUGGAAACGACUGCUAAUACCGUAUACGCUCUUCGGAGGAAAGAUUUAUCGCUAAAAGAUGGACCCGCGUUGGAUUAGAUAGUUGGUGAGGUAAUGGCUCACCAAGUCUGCGAUCCAUAGCUGGUUUGAGAAGAUGAUCAGCCACAUUGGGACUGAGACACGGCCCAG
rnacentral:rRNA from 1 species